rnacentral:rRNA from 1 species
UACAGAGGGUGCAAGCGUUGUUCGGAAUUAUUGGGCGUAAAGGGUGCGUAGGCGGUGCGGUAAGUCUGUAGUGAAAUCUCUGGGCUCAACUCAGAGUCUGCUAUAGAAACUGCCGUGCUUGAGUGUGGGAGAGGUGAGUGGAAUUCCCGGUGUAGCGGUGAAAUGCGUAGAUAUCGGAAGGAACACCUGUGGCGAAAGCGGCUCACUGGACCAUUACUGACGCUGAGGCACGAAAGCUAGGGGAGCAAACAGG